GUGGGCGUAGCUCAGUCGGUAGAGCGCAGGAUUGUGAUUCCUGUGGUCGUGGGUUCAAAUCCCAUCGUCCACCCCA
rnacentral:tRNA from 1 species